rnacentral:rRNA from 1 species
ACUCCUACGGGAGGCAGCAGUGGGGAAUUUUGGACAAUGGGGGCAACCCUGAUCCAGCCAUGCCGCGUGAGUGAAGAAGGCCUUCGGGUUGUAAAGCUCUUUCGGCGGGGAAGAAAUGGCAACGGCUAAUAUCCGUUGUUGAUGACGGUACCCGCAUAAGAAGCACCGGCUAACUACGUGCCAGCAGCCGCGGUAA